UCUCUCUCUGUCUCUCUCUCUCUCUCUUUCUCAGUCCCAGGGUUUCCAAGAUACCAGACAAAGAAAAGGAUGCUCCAGAGAGAGCUUGCAAGGAGGAGAUCUCAGAGGCCAGCUGACCCCCGUACCCUUCAUUUUAUGGAUGAGGAAACUGGGGCCCAAAUGGAGCGACUUGUCCAGAUCGGCAAUAAGCGGAAAAUGGUGAAACAAUCCAUGAUACAUGAAUGUGAUAGAAGGCAAAAAUGCAAAGAGGCAUGGGAAAGAUUCCUGCACUGAUGCAAGAUGUCAAGGGAGAAAAACCAAGAAAACAAGAUGCACGAUGACCCCAAUUAUGUAAAUGGAACAAACAACAAGAGAACUAGGAAAGGGCUACAGUUCAUUUCCCACUCCCAUGGAGUCCUUUUUUAUAGCUCUGCAAAUCAAAGUACAUCUUUCUACUGCCUAUCAGGCUCAGGCCAAUGGACAGACUCAGGACCCAACCAUACAUUGGGACAAGGCUUUCCUGUCACUGCCACUGAGGCCAAACUCCUGGUCCCUUUGCAAUACUGGUAUAGUUAGGGGAAGAGACAGACAGAUGGAGAGAGACAGACACCAGGCGUCUUUCAUCUAUUUGAUUUUUACCACGUGGCUAAUUGGACCAAAUUCUUUUGAGCGAUUAUGGUUCUCCCAGAAAACACUCUGUAAUGUUCUGGGAUUCGAUGACAAGUGGCACAAUAUCAUCUGCAAAAAUCUGCUCGUCUCCAUAGAGCAUCCCUCUUCACCUUGGACUCCCAAACGGAUUUAUUAACAGAACUGAGACAAACACGUUGGGCAGUGAAAUGGCUGGGCAUGAAAUCAGGAAAAUCCAGCUUGAGCUGCUAAGUAUGACCCUGGACAAAUCACUUGACCGCUGCUGCCUCAAUUUCCUCAACUACAAAAUCUGAAUCACUGAUUUUCUCCCAAAGAUAUUGUGAGGAGCAAAUGAAGUAAUAUUUGUAAAACGCUUGGCACAGAUGCUUUAAAAAAGUUUGUUAACUUCCUUUGGCAAAUACCCUAAAGUAACAACAGGAGAUAGUUGACUGUCCUGGGGGAAAGAGAAGGAUUGCAGAAAGAAGACCCGUGUUCCAGGGAAUGGCACAAUAAUAAUUGGAGUUGACCUGCCAGCCCUGCCUUCUCCCCGAUAGCAUCAUUAUCCCACCCACCUGCCGAGUCCAAUCCCUCCUUUGUUCUUUCCCCCACUACAGCUCUGACAAACCUCCCCUGCUUGUUAUCGUUGUCCUUUCCUUGCCAACUUCUGCUCAUUCCAAGAUUUCACACACCUGGAACUAUUUUUACAGGACCAUCAAACAUCUCCACCCAGCAUCCCUCACACUGAGCUUUUAUCCCCAGCCCAGAGCCUCCACCCUGAGCCCGGAGAUCCCUCCCUGACGCUGAGCUCCAUCCCUGACACAAUCCAUCCCUCUAGAACACCCAAUCUCCACCCCAGACACUAAUGCCCUCCCCAGAACUGAGCUCCCUCGUUCCCAGCCCUUGGCUCUCUUUAAUUAAAUCUCUUCCACUCUCAGAGAUCCAGGGAUACACAAAGCCAAAAGAAAAAAAAAAAAUGAAUGCUGCAUGAAUCACUAGAAAACUCCUGAGAACAGCAUCUUCACUUAUAUGUAAAGGUUUUUAACAAAGAAACUUGGGACUCUUUCCUACCCUGGGAUACUUUUUUUAAAGGGGAAGAAUUCUCAAUGGUAGAGGGAGAAGGGUCCCAGUUAGAAGGAUUCUCCAAGAGGUAGGAGGCAUCUGCACACACAGCCUGGAAAGCCUGGGAGUUGAGAAUCUCCCUGAAAGUUGGAGGUGGAGGGGGGGGGGCAUUCUGCCACACACCCCCCACAGCCUCCAUUUCCCCACCCCCUUCUAGGCAAAGAAAAUCUGGCUACAUCUGAGGAAUUCUUUUCAAAAGAUUUUCCUGAUGCGUUUUGUCUUCAUAUCGCAGUCAGAUCUGAGAGAACAAAGCCCCUCGUCCCCACCCAGACAGAAUCCAUCCUUGUAAUCCCCACAAAAGCUGAGCCAAAAACCUUAUACCCCGUCCGAAUGUCUGACAUGUAUAUGACACUCAACCCCAGAGGGAGGGAAGGCUUCAGUAUCCGAUCCCAGGGAACUUUAUUGCUUUAGCUUUUAAAAUAGAUUUUUAUUGAUAGUUUGCUUUUACAUCAUUUAGAUUUCACUGUUUCCCUUCUCUGUGCUCUCAGAGUCACACCUUGUCACAAAUGAUUUUUGACAGAGACCAAGAGAUAGAGGGGGAUGGAGGAAAGAGACAAGAAGGGAAGGGAAGAG